AUUGAACGCUGGCGGCAGGCCUAACACAUGCAAGUCGAGCGCGCGGCGGACGGGUGAGUAAUGUAUGGGGACUGCCCGAUAGAGGGGGAUCACUCCUGGAAACGGUGGCUAAUACCGCCUACUGUCGGAUCACCCAUAUGGGAUUAGCUAGUAGGUACGGUAAUGGCUUACCUAGGCGACGAUCCCUAGCUGGUCUGGGAGGAUGAUCAGCCACACUGGGACGGGGAAACGGGCCAGAAUCCUACGGAGGCAGCAGUGGGGAAUAUUGCACAAUGGGCGGAAGCCUGAUGCAGCCAUGCCGCGUGAGUGAUGACGGCCUUCGGGUUGUAAAGCUCUGUUAAUCGGAAGACGGUACCGGAAUAGAAAGCCACGGCUAACUACGUGCCAGCAGCCGCGGUAAUAC
rnacentral:rRNA from 1 species